UCAAUACUAUCUGUAGAGCUUUCAUGAAGGGAACUACAUAAAAUUAGCAUUGUAACAAAUGCAUUUACCAAAAUAUUUUCAGAACAAUCUAGAGCAAAUGUGGAAGCUCAUCAUUGUUCAUGACAGCAUAUGUUCAUCGGGGUGAACCAGAGUGUUAUGCUCAUUAUAUCCCCUUGGUGCCAUAAUACAUGGAAUCUGGUUCUUCUUAACUAAUCUAGAAUUCCUUUAAAUACAAUGCCAUGCCCUCCACCACCAAUCACACGUGCUCUAUCAAAAUUAUUUGUGGCCUUCUCUAGCUCUUCUAAGGUAAUCAUCAUCCUUCCACCAAUAUCAACAUUCCGCGAUAUCAACUGUUGCAACAGUAACCCAUGAUUUUGUUUGAAAAUUUUCUCCUUUGUCUUCCUCACCUUAUGUGACUUGAGUUUACGAAUCACGAAGGGACCACCAAGUGCCAGAAUCAAAAGCCAUAUGCCACCGUAAACUCCUAGCUCAAUGCUUAGGUCUAAAAAAGAUAAUAAUAAUAAUGUUAAUGAUGUGCCAACUUCAUGAGUUUGGCGCAAGCAUGCAUAUUGAACUGAGAAAGAUGAAAGAUGCACGUAGUUAUUGUCAAAGUUUACAAUGAAAGCUUUUUACUGUUGGAGAACUUGUAAAGUUAUCAUUACAGAAAUACGAGAAAGAUAUAAGGCAAGGUAA